GUGCCUUUUGUUUGUGGAGCACAUGGUGGGUACGAGAUGUUGUCAAGGGCUUCGUGAAGGUGCUUCUGGUCGACUCCUACCGGCAUGAAGCGAGCGUCAGACGUCACACGUCUCAGUUCCUGCAUUAGCUGAGACGGUAUAAUCACAAAGAAGGGAAAGAAAGACGAAGAAAAGCGCAAAUAAACCUGAAGGAUUCAUGUCGGCGCUGCUUUCACUGGAUGGAGGGAGCUGAGAGAGAAGAAGAACUUCCACACAGACGUUUAUUGAUGAAGCAGCUGAUAACAGAUCACUUGGUUUGGUGAUUUGGUGUGAAGAAACAGGAAGGAGUUUCCGAACGCAUUCAGCUUCCUGAAGGGCUUCUUGGGGUCGACCACCAGGGCGUUGCCAGGGACGACGCCCUCGUUCUCGCCG